GCCCUGGUGGUUCAGUAGUCGAACUCUUAGCUGCUAACUGAAAGAUCAGUGGUUCAAACCCACCCAAUGGCU
rnacentral:tRNA from 1 species